rnacentral:rRNA from 1 species
UACGUAGGGGGCGAGCGUUGUCCGAAGUUACUGGGCGUAAAGCGCGCGUAGGCGGGAAAUUAAGUGAGAAGUGAAAGGCUGGGGCUCAACCUCAUGCAGUGCUUCUCAUACUGGUUUUCUUGAGGGCGGUAGAGAAAAGUGGAAUGGCUGGUGUAGCGGUGAAAUGCGUAGAUAUCAGUCGGAACACCGGUGGCGAAGGCGGCUUUUUGGGCCGUUCCUGACGCUGAGGCGCGAAAGCCAGGGGAGCGAACAGG